AACCUAAUCCUUGUCCACUUUCCAUGCACCCAAAUUAGUCUGAGCGUUGUUAUCUGCAUAUUGCAGUGCGUGCAACGCCCUAACCUACGAGGAGGAGAUCCUGCUCCUGCUUUCUCUUCCUAUGGACUAAAUCUAUCUCUCGUCUCUUCCAAGGUUGCAAAUCAAGUUUCAGCAGCUACUCGAUCCAUCAGGUGGAAGAUACCAUGACAAGAAAUGUGAUCUUCAAAAGUGGCCUCGAGCAAAGCCCAGAGAGUCCCAGCAGAGAGUCCCGUCAACUUGUCCAACUCGACUCCCAUAUUCCAUUUCAUCCAAAAAGACUCUUCCCACUAUGAAGUCUGUGGUUUAGACUUCUGUUCGGGAGGAAGUGCAUGCCAUCAUUCCCUUUGAAACGCCACUAGUUGCCAUCUUGCUUGGAAAUCAGUAACAGGUUGCGGUUUCCUGUCGAGUAGGAUUCCAGCGCAAGGAGAUCAAAUUAACUUUACCGGUGGAAAUAAAGAAAUGGAAUGGCAUGGCAUCAUGUGGAUGAAAAGAAAAAGGAAACACAGAACCUAAGAACAGUACCUUUUAAGGGAUGAACUGGGUUCGAUUUAACGCAAAAAGUAGAACCAUUUGGCCUAAGUUGGAACAUGAUCAUAUCCAAGGUCUCCAUUUAGACUCCCAGGGGAGUCACUUCGUCGUGUAUGUGCAUCCCUAUCGUGCUUGCUUUAGCAAAUCAUUGCACCUCUCGGUAGAGAGGCACCAGCAAAAAGAGGAGAGCAGGCAGUGGCCAACCCCCAUCGCCUGCUCAUUAGAAUUCCCCUCGAGAGCAGGGAGAAGUUUGGAGGUGUCGGUAGAAGCAAACCAUCUUCCAUUACCUUUCUGACUUGAUACAGCUCCCGGUGGUAGCCAUGCUGCAGCUCCUGUCGGCCGUGACGAGGAGGCUGAGAUGGCCCAAGAAGCGCAGCGCACGGGUGUUCGACGAGGCGGCUCUGGCGCUCACUCCCGAGGAUGCAGCGGCCGCGCGCCGCCCGUGGGGAGCUCUCGCGACGCUGUUGGCGAUCGCUCGUGCGCCGCUGGCGGUAGCGACUUGCUUUGCAUGCCAGGCUGAGGACAUGGAAGCAGGGGGCCGUCUCCAUGCAGCGGAGGUAGGUGAUUUGAUGGUCGGGGAGGCCAUGCGCUUUGCCAUCUAUCUGUAGGCGUUCGGCUUUGAUCUUUGUCUAUAUAUAAGAAUGAUAUGAUGUACUUUGGAAUACCGAGGAAGAAAAAUAGAGAGGAUUUCAAAUGGUUGUCUUGGUUUCA